UGGCUGGGCAUGUACACUGAUCUGAUGUGU
rnacentral:piRNA from 1 species